ACAGCGGGACAAACCACUGCAGAGAAGUCAGCAAGACAACCUGCCUCCUCCCUGCCUUAUGCUCCAGUUCAGAAGCCCUGUCACCAACAUUCCCCAGUUCCCAGCUUUGUGACAUCACAGUCUCCUGUCCACUCAGCCAGCAGGUGACAGAAGCUUAAAGAUAAGAACAUAAAAGGCCAUCAAAGGGGUAUUCAAAGGAGACAUUCAUUGAAGUCCAAUGACUGGUCAAUAAUUAGGCUAUGUAGUUUAAGGAGACCCUGAAGGUUUUAGUGGCAGCAGGCCAUGGUCUCUGAGCUGUGCAGCUGCUGGAGGGUCUCCAUGAGGAUGAAGAAGGCAGUGGACAGGAGUCAUGAAGACUGAUUCAGAAACUCCACCGCAAGGAGGGAAGAUGUCUGAGCCAUCCCUGUGCCACCAGCAGGAGUCACCCCAGCUUCUGACAGCCAAGGAGGGGGGCUGCCUGCAAUUAAAAUUCUUGUUUGCAUCAGA